UACGGAGGGCGCAAGCGUUGUUCGGAAUCACUGGGCGUAAAGCGCGUGUAGGCGGCCAGGCAAGUCGGGUGUGAAAUCCCGGGGCUCAACCUCGGAACUGCACUCGAAACUGCUUGGCUCGAGUCCCGGAGAGGGUGGCGGAAUUCCCGGUGUAGGGGUGAAAUCCGUAGAUAUCGGGAGGAACACCAGUGGCGAAGGCGGCCACCUGGACGGUGACUGACGCUGAGACGCGAAAGCGUGGGGAGCAAACAGG
rnacentral:rRNA from 1 species